AUUUGAGCAGAAGGUUCUGCAUUUUGAUUGUAAAUCAAAAUAAAGGGAUUCGAGUUCCCUCAAAUA
rnacentral:tRNA from 1 species